UACGGAGGGUGCGAGCGUUGUCCGGAAUCACUGGGCGUAAAGGGCGCGUAGGCGGCCCGGUAAGUAGGGGGUGAAAUCUUGCGGCUUAACCGCAAGGCUGCCUUCUAAACUGCCAGGCUUGAGCACAGUAGAGGCAGGUGGAAUUCCCGGUGUAGCGGUGGAAUGCGUAGAGAUCGGGAAGAACAUCGGUGGUGAAGGCGGCCUGCUGGGCUGUUGCUGACGCUGAGACGCGACAGCGUGGGGAGCAAACAGG
rnacentral:rRNA from 1 species